rnacentral:rRNA from 1 species
UACGUAGGUGGCAAGCGUUGUUCGGAAUAACUGGGCGUAAAGGAUGCGUAGGCGGUUAAACAAGUUACAUGUUAAAUAUAUAGGCUUAACCUGUAGAAAGCAUAUAAAACUGUUUAACUAGAGUGCAGGAGAGGUAAGUGGAAUUCCUAGUGUAGCGGUGAAAUGCGUAGAGAUUAGGAAGAACACCAGUGGCGAAGGCGACUUACUGGACUGUAACUGACGCUGAGGCAUGAGAGCAUGGGGAGCAAACAGG